GACACAUUUAUUUUCUUUCCUUGCUUUCUGUUGUCCCUGAGAUAUCUGCAGAGAGAUAAAACUGGUGGAUGUCAACUUUAAACUAGGUGCAAAUCCUAUUCCUCCAACAUCCUCCAUUGUGUUGUUUAUGCAUGCUCAGCUCAAACUGCAAGCACAUGAGGCAGAAGCAGAAAGUGCAUCCAGGGGCCAAUGCCAAACCCAUUCUCUCCAGAGCCUGCCCUACCAGAAAGCCCUAACUGUAAUACAAAUGAAUGAAUAAAAUGAUGAGUGCAACAACAGAAGACCAGCCACGGGAAAACUUAUCUGAUUCAGUGCUGAUGAUGCCAGUUCCAGCACCCAGAAAAAGGUCACUUCCGGUUCUGGUGCUCAGAAGAAUGUCACUUCUGGCGCACAGGCUGACGUCAGAAGGACAUCACUUCC